UAGUAUAGAUAGGGUAAUAUUGUAUAUAUGUUACCAUAAAAAAUUUAGAUUCCCUCAUAUCUAGUCACUAUUGUGUCAUACAUUCUUCUUGCAACAUAAAUUUUUCCAGUAAACGAUUCCUGACCAUAUUAAUGCUAAAUCGAUACUGAAUCCGUCCAAACAGCGAUUAAAUUUUGAUUAAUUGCUGACUUUUAGUACACCGGAAUAAGUUGUGGUUAAAAUUAGCCAAAUUAUUGGAAUCAAUUUAUAGGUUUAAAAUUAUUUCGUUAAAAUAGGUCUUUUAAAUAAGUAGGUUCUAUAGAUGUUUUUUAAUUAGAAUAGUUAUAUGUAUCUUAACUAGAAUAGGUUCUUAAAAUAGUUAGGCUCGUUAAUAUAACUAGGCCUUACAAGUGUGUUUAAAUUAGAAUAGCGAUACAGUUUUGAUUUUAACAGUCUUACAAUAGACAGGCCUGUUAAAGUAAGUUUUUAAAAUAGAUAUGCCUGUAUAUAGGCUAAAAAACCAAGCAACCGACUACCAAAUGUAGGUAUAUAUUAUCAUAUUUAAGUAAUAGAUUAGGAUUUUGCAACAAAGAUUGUGGUGUCGCUGCAGUUUGAUGUGUGCCUGGAUGCUGUAUUGUACAUAUGGCAUGAUACGUUGAUGUCAACACAUAUUUGACUUUUCAAGCAUAUGUCGCCCUCUCAGUUUUCCAAUAUCUGUUCCAAAACAGAAAGUAUACUGAGAUAUACUUUCUAGGCAGAAGUAUUGAACUCAUCUGUCCAGGUGAGGCAUAGGUUAUUGAGCGAGCUUAAGAAAAUGCAGAGCUGUAGCCGUUUUUGGUACUAUGACGAAUAAAGCCUUUGUUUCUCUAACAUCUACAGUAUGUAUGUGUUUUUAAGUUUCAAGGAUCCAUAUGUGUGGUUUAAUAUAGCUUUAUUGGUCAUCAAAGUAGUCAAUCUGAGAUGGAACCCACCCGCAGUUGAUACGUGCGUGAGGUGUGAGCCCUCCCUAGAUUUUGAACCUACGUUACCCGGACUCUUCAUUUUACCUCGAGUACCCGUGUCGGACACUCGACACUCGGACAUGGGUAUGGACACUCCGACACUUAUUUUAGGCCAAAAACAUGUAAAAUUUUCAAAAUAUUGCCGAGUCCGACACUCGGACACGUAUCCAAUUUGGACACUAUCAGCCGAGUCCGGGUAACAUAGUUUUGAACAAUGUUAGUAUUGUAUAAAUGUAACUCUCAUAGAUCAGUGAAUUUUAUCUCAUAUGUUAGGGUCAGACUUCUUGGCAAG
rnacentral:lncRNA from 1 species